AGCUUGGCUGAGGUGCUAGAACCUCAGUUCUUGUUAGACUUCGCGAGGAGAGGUAUCGUUGCUAUUGUGUGUCGCUCGCUAUUUUUCCGUAGCGGCGGCGGCCUGAAAAUAAGGAGAGUUCGAACAGAAGAGGGUCGCGGUCAGGAGUGUACUGUCAAAAUAUUAUGGACGAUCAGAGCAGAAUGAUGCACCCUGUGACUUCUCAAGUCGGAAUGAUGCCCCAGCCUUAUGGCAUGCAACCUGUGGAUCCAAAUCACGGUGGACCAACAACGCCAGACCAAGAAACUAGGAAACAAGAUAUUGGCGAAAUUUUGCAGCAGAUAAUGAAUAUCACGGACCAGUCGUUGGACGAAGCGCAGGCCAGGAAACACACACUUAACUGUCACCGUAUGAAGCCAGCUCUCUUCAGUGUUUUGUGCGAAAUAAAGGAAAAAACAGUGCUGAGCCUGCGGAACACGCAGGAGGAAGAGCCGCCGGACCCGCAGCUGAUGCGGCUGGACAACAUGCUGAUCGCGGAGGGCGUGGCCGGCCCCGAGAAGGGCGGCGGUGCGGGGGCGGCGGCUAGUGCGUCGGCGGCGGCGUCGGGCGGGCCCGGCCAGCCGGACAACGCCAUCGAGCACUCCGACUACCGCGCCAAGCUCGCGCAGAUCCGCCAGAUCUACCACCAAGAGCUCGAGAAGUACGAGCAGGCGUGUAACGAGUUCACGACGCACGUGAUGAAUCUCCUGAGGGAGCAGUCGCGCACACGGCCCAUCACGCCCAAGGAGAUCGAGCGCAUGGUGCAGAUCAUCCACAAGAAGUUCUCUUCCAUCCAAAUGCAGCUCAAGCAGAGCACCUGCGAGGCCGUCAUGAUCUUGCGCUCCAGGUUCCUCGACGCCAGGAGGAAGAGAAGAAACUUUAGCAAACAGGCUUCUGAAAUCCUGAAUGAGUAUUUUUAUUCACACUUAAGCAAUCCUUACCCAUCUGAAGAGGCAAAGGAAGAGCUUGCAAGGAAAUGUGGAAUAACAGUUUCACAGGUAUCCAACUGGUUUGGAAACAAGAGAAUUCGUUACAAGAAAAACAUUGGAAAAGCACAAGAGGAAGCCAACUUAUAUGCAGCAAAGAAAGCUGCUGGUGCCUCUCCAUAUACCAUGGGUCCAGCACCUCAAGGGACGCCGACUCCAAUGAUGUCCCCUGCUCCUCCUGGCGGCCCCCAAGACAGCAUGGGGUAUAAUAUGAAUAUGAAUGGUGGAGAUUACAAUUCCUCAAUGUCAGGUUCACAGCCACCUUAUGCAGAUGGAGGAAUGGGCUAUGAUCCAAUGCACCAGGUACACCAAUGAACUGUCGAGAACAAGAUGGAAAGCACACCCACCACAACAGCCACAACCACCCAGGCCUUCGCUGGAUUUGUGUAGGCGUGUGUGCGUGCGUGUGUUGGUUCUAAUGCUAAUUCUCGAUCAGAGUUUUCUUAAGAAAAUAUAGUGAAGUGUUUUAAGAACAAAAUUUCUUAGUCUAAUUUUCUUCGUUCCCUGUUUUUGUGUGUGAGGCUCAUGUGAAUAUUCAUUGUAGGACAAGAUAUUAGUGACACAUACAAUCUCAGUGAGAUAUGGAUGUUAAGAAGAAGAACAGCACAUACUCAUAAAACAUUUAAGUACCGUUUCUGCAUAGGCAAGGUUCAAUUUUAUCCCAGAGUAAAGACCUCAAGAGUAUGUACAGUACUGGAAAUAUGGGAUGAAUUGUUUUAUUCAUGAGAAUGUUAUUGGAAAAGAAACUUGCUGUUUAGAAGCCGGUGUUGAGAUCAGACGUGUGUUCUACUAUGCGCCUUAGUUUUGUGGAGCAUAGAACUGAGAAGUUAUUGAGAUCCACCACACAGCAAUAAAUCAGUAUACGAAUAAAUUAAUAAGUAUCAAAUAAUGUAGCAGAAAAUUUAUUUUUAUAGCAUUUUCUUCAACUUUGUGAAAAUGUUUUUGAGUAAAAAAAGAACUGUAAUUUUGAAUUUUGGAGUGGCGUGCGAUUGAAGGCAUAGCUAUCAAGGAAGAGCUAAGCUGAGCGGUCAUCAAGAGUGCCUCACAAUACGUCCUCAGUAGUCACACAAGGUGGCCACGUCACCCCCAAGUCCGGCUCGCCUGUGCGACCUGGCUCUGUAGGGUGGAGUGGGCCUCCGCCUAGGGAGCAGAUUCCAGACUUCCCUCCUGUGCAGCCACUGCAUCCUGAUGACGAUGAAAGCGGUG
rnacentral:misc_RNA from 1 species